rnacentral:rRNA from 1 species
ACACGUGGGCAACCUGCCUGUAAGACUGGGAUAAYUUCGGGAAACCGAAGCUAAUACCGGAUAGGAUCUUCUCCUUCAUGGGAGAUGAUUGAAAGAUGGUUUCGGCUAUCACUUACAGAUGGGCCCGCGGUGCAUUAGCUAGUUGGUGAGGUAACGGCUCACCAAGGCAACGAUGCAUAGCCGACCUGAGAGGGUGAUCGGCCACACUGGGACUGAGACACGGCCCAGACUCCUACGGGAGGCAGCAGUAGGGAAUCUUCCGCAAUGGACGAAAGUCUGACGGAGCAACGCCGCGUGAGUGAUGAAGGCUUUCGGGUCGUAAAACUCUGUUGUUAGGGAAGAACAAGUACAAGAGUAACUGCUUGUACCUUGACGGUACCUAACCAGAAAGCCACGGCUAACUACGUGCCAGCAGCCGCGGUAAUACGUAGGUGGCAAGCGUUAUCCGGAAUUAUUGGGCGUAAAGCGCGCGCAGGCGGUUUCUUAAGUCUGAUGUGAAAGCCCACGGCUCAACCGUGGAGGGUCAUUGGAAACUGGGGAACUUGAGUGCAGAAGAGAAAAGCGGAAUUCCACGUGUAGCGGUGAAAUGCGUAGAGAUGUGGAGGAACACCAGUGGCGAAGGCGGCUUUUUGGUCUGUAACUGACGCUGAGGCGCGAAAGCGUGGG